rnacentral:tRNA from 1 species
ACGAUGUUAGCUCAACGGAUAGAGCGACGAGCUUCUAACUCGUAGGUUGUUGGUUCAAUUCCAUCACAUCGUG